rnacentral:rRNA from 1 species
AAGACCAAAGAGGGGGACCUUCGGGCCUCUUGCCAUCAGAUGUGCCCAGAUGGGAUUAGCUAGUUGGUGAGGUAACGGCUCACCAAGGCGACGAUCCCUAGCUGGUCUGAGAGGAUGACCAGCCACACUGGAACUGAGACACGGUCCAGACUCCUACGGGAGGCAGCAGUGGGGAAUAUUGCACAAUGGGCGCAAGCCUGAUGCAGCCAUGCCGCGUGUAUGAAGAAGGCCUUCGGGUUGUAAAGUACUUUCAGCGGGGAGGAAGGUGUUGUGGUUAAUAACCGCAGCAAUUGACGUUACCCGCAGAAGAAGCACCGGCUAACUCCGUGCCAGCAGCCGCGGUAAUACGGAGGGUGCAAGCGUUAAUCGGAAUUACUGGGCGUAAAGCGCACGCAGGCGGUCUGUCAAGUCGGAUGUGAAAUCCCCGGGCUCAACCUGGGAACUGCAUUCGAAACUGGCAGGCUUGAGUCUUGUAGAGGGGGGUAGAAUUCCAGGUGUAGCGGUGAAAUGCGUAGAGAUCUGGAGGAAUACCGGUGGCGAAGGCGGCCCCCUGGACAAAGACUGACGCUCAGGUGCGAAAGCGUGGGGAGCAAACAGGAUUAGAUACCCUGGUAGUCCACGCCGUAAACGAUGUCUACUUGGAGGUUGUGCCCUUGAGGCGUGGCUUCCGGAGCUAACGCGUUAAGUAGACCGCCUGGGGAGUACGGCCGCAAGGUUAAAACUCAAAUGAAUUGACGGGGGCCCGCACAAGCGGUGGAGCAUGUGGUUUAAUUCGAUGCAACGCGAAGAACCUUACCUGGUCUUGACAUCCACGGAAGUUUUCAGAGAUGAGAAUGUGCCUUCGGGAACCGUGAGACAGGUGCUGCAUGGCUGUCGUCAGCUCGUGUUGUGAAAUGUUGGGUUAAGUCCCGCAACGAGCGCAACCC